rnacentral:lncRNA from 1 species
CUUGCGCGAGGGAAAGAGGCAUGUAUACCUCUAUGGAAACUAUUUGAUCGACUUUGCGAUAAGUACGAUUUGGGGCAGGUGUGGUGGCAUGACAAAAGGAUUUCUGGAGGUCUUGAGUUCGUGUCAACCUAAAGGUACUUCAAGAGCCUUCAUGAUGGGGAUUCUACGCUCCUUCAUUACUAGUACUGUGUCUUGAGGAACAACACCAAUAGCACUGCGAAGUGAUUUCUGCGUCACCUGGUCAAAACAACCAAUACAUCGUCGUUUUUGCAAAAUUUAACUGGAACAGAGAUAGAUCCUUCAAGGAUGUCAUAAAAUCUGUACAACAGCCUGAUAAUCGUGCUCUUCCCGCCACCCGAGUUUCCAACAAAUGCUACCGUCUGACCAGGAUACACUUUGAAGGAAACAUUUUUCACGACGUGGUUGCUAAAAAAUAGAAUUUUGAAGACUUCGUCUGAGGCUUAUGUCAAACGCCGAAUUUCAAAUGAGCCGAACCUAAUGACAUCUAAGAAGACCGUAAUAUCACUCGUGCCACACACCAUUCUCGUCAGUUCCCGCGGAGCCUAGAGUUCCUUGCAGGCUCUAACCAAUAAGACUAAAAUAAAACUUCAAUUAUAUCGACUCCUAAAAUAAACACUCAGGAGCUCUCAGAUGAUCUCACUAAAAGAUCGAAUUCGAAAUUUAGCUCGAUUGGAUUUGUGGGAGAGCAAUAGCAAAGAACCCAGAGAAAAACCAUCAAGGGAGAGACCUUACAAACUCUGCUCACAAGUGAUGUCGAGUCCAGGAAUUGAACCAGAGACCCGAGAUGCAGGUGCACUAUCACAACAUCACCCUUGUUUCUCGAAUUCCCGUACAUUUUCACUCGAGAAAAGCAAUAUUUGCACAUGAAGACUGUUCACAGGUAGAAAAAUCUCCUACAAAGAUCAUGCGUUCGCCUUGAUGUGAAAUGCCUUACCUCAGAUUGUAACCAAAACUCACGUCCUUGAACUCAAUAAGCCCAUUAGAAACAUUGAGAAUAGUUGCGUC